rnacentral:rRNA from 1 species
AACUUUCCAGAGAUGGAUUGGUGCCUUCGGGAACUCUGAGACAGGUGCUGCAUGGCUGUCGUCAGCUCGUGUCGUGAGAUGUUGGGUUAAGUCCCGCAACGAGCGCAACCCUUGUCCUUAGUUGCCAGCGCGUUAUGCUGGGAACUCUAAGGAAACGGCCGGGGACAAACGGGAGGAAGGGGGGAAUGACGUCAAGUCAUCAUGGCCCUUACGGCCUGGGCUACACACGUGCUACAAGGGUCGGUACAAAGGGUUGCUACGCCGCGAAGCGAAGCUAAUCCCAAAAAACCGAUCGUAGUCCGGAUUGAAGUCUGCAACUCAACUCCGUGAAGUCGGAAUCGCUAGUAAUCGCGAAUCAAAAUGUCGCGGUGAAUACUUUCCCGGGUCUUGUACACACCG